rnacentral:rRNA from 1 species
UACGUAGGGGGCUAGCGUUGUCCGGAUUUAUUGGGCGUAAAGAGCGUGUAGGCGGCCAGGUAGGUCUGCUGUGAAAACUCGAGGCUCAACCUCGAGACGUCGGCGGAAACCAUCUGGCUAGAGUCCGGAAGAGGAGAGUGGAAUUCCUGGUGUAGCGGUGAAAUGCGUAGAUAUCAAGUGGAACACCAGUGGCGAAGGCGAGUCUCUGGACAUUUCCUGACGCUGAGGCACGAAAGCCAGGGGAGCAAACGGG